rnacentral:rRNA from 1 species
UAGGUGGGGGGACACAACAAUUCCCGAAAAGGGGAUGCUAAUACCCGCAUACGCCCUUACGGGGGGAAAGCAGGGGGAUCUUCGGACCUUUGCGCUAAUAGAUGAGCCCUAAGUCGGAUUAGCUAGUUGGUGGGGUAAAGGCCUACCAAGGCGACGAUCUGUAGCGGGUCUGAGAGGAUGAUCCGCCACACUGGGACUGAGACACGGCCCAGACUCCUACGGGAGGCAGCAGUGGGGAAUAUUGGACAAUGGGCGGAAGCCUGAUCCAGCCAUGCCGCGUGUGUGAAGAAGGCCUUUUGGUUGUAAAGCACUUUAAGCGAGGAGGAGGCUCUUAAGGUUAAUACCCUUGAUGAGUGGACGUUACUCGCAGAAUAAGCACCGGCUAACUCUGUGCCAGCAGCCGCGGUAAUACAGAGGGUGCGAGCGUUAAUCGGAUUUACUGGGCGUAAAGCGUGCGUAGGCGGCUGAUUAAGUCGGAUGUGAAAUCCCUGAGCUUAACUUAGGAAUUGCAUUCGAUACUGGUCAGCUAGAGUAUGGGAGAGGAUGGUAGAAUUCCAGGUGUAGCGGUGAAAUGCGUAGAGAUCUGGAGGAAUACCGAUGGCGAAGGCAGCCAUCUGGCCUAAUACUGACGC